CACCCGGUAGCGCAUGGCGUGCAUCUGCCAUGCGUUGUUCUUGUAAAUCUAUGACAUUUAGUAUGCAGAAGGCCCACGUUCGAUCCGGGGCCGGGUGA